GUAUGUGAGGGGGAUCUGGCUGUGACAUCUGUUACCCCAUUAAUCGCCAGGGUUGUUUCAGCUGCUCCGGCUGACCAGGCAGGUGUCCCAUUCCUCCCUCACCACUCCAUGUGCAUCCCUCCCAAAUACAAACAAGCUCUUAAAACAUCAUGGAAUGUUUGUUUUUUAAAAAUAUUUAUUUA
rnacentral:snRNA from 1 species